GCGUUUGUAGCUCAGCUGGAUAGAGCAACCGCCUUCUAAGCGGUAGGUCGAAGGUUCGAGUCCCUCCAAGCGCGCCA
rnacentral:tRNA from 2 species